GGAUGUGAGGGCGAUCUGGCUGCGACAUCUGUCACCCCACUGAUCACCAGGGUUGAUUCGGCUGAUCUGGCUGGCUAGGCGGGUGUCCCCUUCCUCCCUCACCACUCCAUGUGCGUCCCUCCCUAUGCUGUGUGCUCGGUCAAAGAGGGUGGCCUUCCCCACAUAGAGACGGACCAGUCUUUGGUCCAGGGUAUAGGAGUAGCUGCGCUCCCCUGCUAGAACCUCCAAACAAGCUCUCAAGGAAUAGGGAAGCUUCCAGUGGAGGGGAUGGGAUAUGGAACUCUGGUGGUGCGAAUUACAUGAAAUUGUACCCCUGCUA
ensembl:misc_RNA 7SK 7SK RNA